ACUAUUAGAUGCCCUGCAACGGGAUGGGAUCUGAAGCCUCCUGAAGAUUCUAUCUAACUCCUAUUCCGACACGUCCAUGUCGUACAGGGUAGCAUGGGCCCAAGUCUAGCCAUUCGGCUGGAUGAAAGCUCAUGGCUAAGAAGGAACAG
rnacentral:ribozyme from 1 species